UGCUUAGAAGGAGACAGACCAAUGGGACUUACGCGAUCUUUGAAUGUCCUCAUGAUCUGUGCAGCAUUUGCAUUUGUUGCAGCGUUGAUAGCAGGCGUUAUUCCCUGAUUGGGAACAGCCUAAGCCAUUAGACGGCAUCGGUUUUUGAGGAUGAACCUAUCCGUUUCACUUAAAGGAAAAGCCCGGUUUCAGACCGGGCUUU
rnacentral:sRNA from 1 species